UAAUCGUUUCCUUUUAUUGCCAGUUGUGGUGCUUUCUUGGGUUUUCCCUGUUAAAAGAGAAUUUUGCAUUUUCGUUCUUUGGUUGGCAAAUCUCGGAUUUGUUGGCAUUUGCAACGCUGCUGUAAUUUUUUGGGUCUGAAGACUAAUGCUACGAAUUGUGAUUCCAAAUCAGCUUAUCCUUAAUUCACAAAUACCAAGAUCGUUAUUCAUCUGUGGAGUUCAAAAAUCUCUUCCAGUCUUAAACUCAACGUCAAUGGAUAAAUCCAUAUAUUGGCUACCUUGAAAGACACGAAUUUUUUUUUACAUGUUUGAGUUUUAUCUCAGGUUACAAAACUAAUACUACAACUUUGGUUUCCAGAUCAGUUUAUCCGCAAUUUGCAAAUACCAAGAUCAUUGGUUAUCUGUGAGCACAUGUGAUUUAAAAAUUCCUGUCACUGACUUUGCUCUGCUGAUUAAAUUCUGUGAUCAGUUUAGUUUUUUUGCUUUGUUUGAUCAUUUGAUUUGUCAUUGCACCGUACUGAUUAAAUUACAUACAGAGAUAAUAAGUGUUGUUUGGUAUUUUUAUCAUUGAGAUUGGUUUAGAUUUGAUUGAUAAAAAUAAAAUAAAGAACUGACAAAGAAAUGAUACGCAGUGAUAUAGAAUGGUUGAAUCAAUCAUCUGCUCUGCUUGUUCUGUGGAUACAUCAAUAUAACUACCAAUGGUAUGUCAAAGUACUCAGAAAUUUUUACUUUAUUUUCAUUAAUGUUUUAUGCUUAAAUUCUAUCUUCAUUGAUGUUUCUCUUUAGGGGAAUUGACUUUUACCAAUUUAUGCAUGCACUAUCUUCAUUUCAUCUACUCUAAACGCACGUCCAAUUACCAAUUUCCCCACUAGUAAAUUAACCUGGGCAUCUAAAAGCACUGGUGAACACACUGUCUCCGAAGAUGUACCCAUUCCAGAUGCCUUAAUUAAGCCAAAGAACAUUUAAACAAUCAAACAAUUGUUACAUCAAUCUUUGUAGCAUUUCAUUAUUAGUUACAUAAAUUAAACAAUUCUGCUGUUCCUAUCAUGUUCUUUGAAUCAAUUAAACCAUCUGAACGCAAUAUAUAUUUAGUCAAAACAUCUGCAUUUAUACUUUUGGAUGCCCAUCUUAAAUCCAUUAGUGAUCAACCAAGUAAUUUGACAUGCAUACAGAGCAAAUUAAACAAAGAAGGUCUUAGUGUAUAAAUUGGUAACAGCCAAUUCCUCUGAAGAGGAAAGAUGGAAAUGAUGAUUGCUUAUCUACAUCAAAUGAGUUCUAUUUGUCCCCUUUUUUACAACAAAAUUACCAUAAAACUGCCUUGCAUAUGUUCUUCCGCUAUAUUCCUAUGUUUAUGAUCCGUUUUUAAUACAGGUUUCCAAUCAUUUUUACCGUGUUGUACUCAUUUAAUAAUGAUUUACUUGAAAUUUCACAAUCAUUUUACCCUCUCAUGCAUAAUUCUAUGCCACAGGUUUAGAUAAAUAUCAUAACACUUAACCCAAUUUUAUGAUAACUGUGCCACGUUCUAUUUACCAAUGUUCACAGCUAAAAUUGAUUACACAACCUAGCUGCAGGUAUACCGCAGAUUACAUCGCUCUCCACAGAGGUUCUGCUUCUUUUUCUUAUUAUGCUCUCUAACCUGCUAAUAUUAGAAUACAUUACCCUUUUCUUGCUCAUGUAUAAAGAUAAGAAUUAUAAACAAAACAAUCAGCUUAAAAAGCUAAUAUCUAUUCGUCUUCUUCAUUGUAUGGUUAAGCUUACAGAGAACGUCUUAUCAACCAUUUGGGUAAUUUUGUAAAUCAAAAUGACCAUUUCUCUAUUCGUCUUUCGAUUUGCUCUGAUUGAAAGUCGAACCAAUGCCAACACAAGCAGACGAGCAUCAAAAUUUUGUAUAUUUGACUCUCAUGUACUAUUCCACAACAGUAUUUGUUGUUUUUCAUUUUGGUUGCAGGUUUGAAUUACAAAUUAACAAAAUUGUACAGUCGUGGCCACAUUGUAAGUCUGAUUAAUCAUCCUAUGAGAAUCACUUAAAAUUCUAAUCUUUAAAACCAGGUUGAGAUCUGGUGGAGCACGAGGAAGGCCUCGUUUGGAGCGUAGCAAUACAUGGUUAUCCAAGAAGUAUGUAUGGUGGUGAUAGAAAUUACUAUUGGGAUAGCAGGCGGCACAUAGAUGAU